rnacentral:rRNA from 1 species
GAUGAACGCUGGCGGCGUGCCUAAUACAUGCAAGUCGAGCGAACGGACGAGAAGCUUGCUUUUCUGAUGUUAGCGGCGGACGGGUGAGUAACACGUGGAUAACCUACCUAUAAGACUGGGAUAACUUCGGGAAACCGGAGCUAAUACCGGAUAAUAUUUUGAACCGCAUGGUUCAAAAGUGAAAGACGGUCUUGCUGUCACUUAUAGAUGGAUCCGCGCUGCAUUAGCUAGUUGGUAAGGUAACGGCUUACCAAGGCAACGAUGCAUAGCCGACCUGAGAGGGUGAUCGGCCACACUGGAACGGAUACACGGUCCAGACUCCUACGGGAGGCAGCAGUAGGGAAUCUUCCGCAAUGGGCGAAAGCCUGACGGAGCAACGCCGCGUGAGUGAUGAAGGUCUUCGGAUCGUAAAACUCUGUUAUUAGGGAAGAACAUAUGUGUAAGUAACUGUGCACAUCUUGACGGUACCUAAUCAGAAAGCCACGGCUAACUACGUG